UACGGGGGGAGCAAGCGUUGUUCGGAUUUACUGGGCGUAAAGGGCGCGUAGGCGGCCUGUGCAAGUCAGUUGUGAAAUCUCCGAGCUUAACUCGGAACGGUCAACUGAUACUGCUCGGCUAGAGUGCGGAAGGGGCAAUCGGAAUUCUCGGUGUAGCGGUGAAAUGCGUAGAUAUCGAGAGGAACACCUGAGGUGAAGACGGGUUGCUGGGCCGACACUGACGCUGAGUGCGCGGAAGCCAGGGGAGCAAACGGG
rnacentral:rRNA from 1 species